GUGAAUCAUCGAAUCUUUGAACGCAAAUUGCACUCCCUGGUAUUCCGGGGAGCAUGCCUGUCUGAGGGUCGGUAGAAUAAUAAAUCGAUGCGUCGCUCUUUUUAUUAAUGGUGAUCGCGCUGGAAUUUAGCCGCCUGUCAAAUGUUAAUUAAUUUCAAAGUGGCUUGAAAUUCAUUCAUCCGGUACGAUUGAAGU
rnacentral:misc_RNA from 1 species